rnacentral:rRNA from 1 species
AUUUAAAAGUAAAAAUGUAGACUUGAAUAUUAAUAGUUAUUUUCUUUAAAAUCAAAGAAUUUGGCGGUAAUUUAGUCUUGUUAGAGGAACCUGUUUUAUAAACGAUAAAUCACGCAAUAUCUUACUUAUUUUUGUAAUAAAAAUCAGUUUGUAUACCUUCAUUAUUAAAUAAUUUUGUAAAAAAUAAUUAUUGAAAUUAAUAAAUGAUUUAAGGAUAUUAGAUCAAGGUGCAGCUUAUAAAUAAGUAAAAAUGGGUUACAAUAAUAUAUAAUUAUAUGGAUAGUAAAAAGAAUGGUUUACUUAAAGGUGGAUUUAAUUGUAAGAGUGUUUUAAUAAGUCUCUUUGAUAUUAGCUCUAAGUUAUGUACAUAUCGCCCGUCACUUUCAUUUAAAAU